rnacentral:rRNA from 1 species
GACGAACGCUGGCGGCGUGCUUAACACAUGCAAGUCGAACGGAAAGGCCCUGCUUUUGUGGGGUGCUCGAGGGGCGAACGGGUGAGUAGCACGUGAGUAACCUGCUCUUGACUUUGGGAUAACUUCAGGAAGCGGGAGCUAAUACCGGAUAGGAGCUCCUGCUGCAUGGUGGGGGUUGGAACGUUUCAGCGGGUGGGGCUGGACGCGCGGCUUAUCAGCUUGUUGGUUGGGGAGUGGCUUACCAAGGCUUUGGCGGGUCGGCCGCAUUGGAGGGUGGCCGGCGACCUGGGGACUGAGAUACGGCCCAGUCUCCAACGGGGGACAGCAGUGGGGAACAUUGUCCAGUGGGCGGAAGCCUGAUGCGGCAGCGCCGCGUUCGGAAUGACGGCCUUCGGGUUGUGAACCGCUUUCGCCUGUGACGAAGCGUGAGUGACGGUACUGGGUGAAGAAGCACCGGCUAACUACGUG